rnacentral:rRNA from 1 species
AGUGAACGCUGGCGGUAGGCCUAACACAUGCAAGUCGAACGGCAGCACAGUAAGAGCUUGCUCUUACGGUUGGCGAGUGGCGGACGGGUGAGGAAUACAUCGGAAUCUACUUUUUCGUGGGGGACAACGUAGGGAAAGUUACGCUAAUACCGCAUACGACCUACGGGUGAAAGCAGGGGAUCUUCGGACCUUGCGCGACUGAAUGAGCCGAUGUCGGAUUAGCUAGUUGGCGGGGUAAAGGCCCACCAAGGCAACGAUCCGUAGCUGGUCUGAGAGGAUGAUCAGCCACACUGGAACUGAGACACGGUCCAGACUCCUACGGGAGGCAGCAGUGGGGAAUAUUGGACAAAGGGCGCAAGCCUGAUCCAGCCAUACCGCGUGGGUGAAGAAGGCCUUCGGGUUGUAAAGCCCUUUUGUUGGGAAAGAAAAGCAGCAGGUUAAUACCCCGCUGUUCUGACGGUACCCAAAGAAUAAGCACCGGCUAACUUCGUG